AACGCACGAGACCUGCGGACCUGCGGAGGGAUCAUUACUGGAUAGCAAAGGGAAAGAUUGAUGCUGACUCUUUUUUAAAAAAAAGAGUAUGUGCACAUCUUUCUUUACUGCAUUCAAAUUUUCCGCUACACAUUUGUGCACAUUUGUAGACUGAGUAAAAAUCGGUCUAUGUUUUUUCUAAACACACUUUUAAAAAAAAAGUUUAUUGUUUUGAAAUAAGUGCAUUUUGACGCAACUUUC
rnacentral:misc_RNA from 1 species